rnacentral:hammerhead_ribozyme from 1 species
AUCCAUCUGACGAGUUCGAAACUGAACGGAACGCGCGUCCUGGAU